AUUGGCAGCUGUUUCUGGUUCAUUAUUUGUGCCAAGAAGCAUACCACACAUAUCCUCUGUUGUUGGACAGGUUCUCAAAAGAUACAACCAAGGCCACAUUUGAGCUGUGUGGGAUCUAUGUCCCCUUUCGGAUCCCCUCAUUUCUUUGAGCGUCUUCUCAUGAAACAUUGUAUACAGUAUUAGGACUUCUAAUAUCUGAUGGAAGAAUCAAGCCAGGCCAUUUUUCCCUCCAUUAUGAUUCCAGUGUGGUAAUCUACCUCAGAGCUUCAUACACUGGACAUGUGACUGGACUUUCAAGAGAAACUCCAGGUGGCAAGCCUCUUCACCCCUACUGAUAUAGAUCCAAUCACCAGCCACUAAUAGGUGCAUAUGAUGCGAAUAUCUAGAUGGUGUGUAGACUCUCAGCUUGUGAUUCUGGG